rnacentral:lncRNA from 1 species
GACACAGUGGUGAUAUAGCUGCCAGCUGGCUCAUUCUCCUGGAUAUGAGCAAAGUACUGAACUGGAUAAAACACAGGACUGUUAUCAUUCACAUCCAAGAGACUCACAUUGACCCGGGUCAGAGAAGUCUGGGGAGGAGAGCCGAGAUCUACAGCCAGGACCAAAAGGGAAUAGAAAGCCUGCUCUUCUCUGUCCAAAGAGGAGAUGGUGCUCAGCCUUCCAGACACGGGAUCCAGGCGGAAGGACCUCUGUUCAGUGUCAGCCUCCUGGAAGGAGAAUCGAACAGUUCCAUUGUCGCCUAGGUCCCCAUCUGAUGCCUCUAUGACCAACAAAUCUGUCCCUGCAGGGGCAUUCUCAGCCACAGACACUUCAUAGCCUGCUUCCUGGCUGAAUACUGGCUUUUCAUCAUUCACAUCCAGGACAGUAACUAUCAGCUGUGCAUAGGAUACUUUGGGGUGGACACCCUGAUCCCUGGCACUAAUGUUCAAGACCACCUGGGAGGCUCGUUCUCUGUCCAGGCCACCAGCAGCCGCAGUUGUCACCAGACCACUGUGGUCACUGAUGUGAAACCAGUCCAGCUCAUUGCCAGAGAUGAUGCUAUAGCGAAGGUUUGCAUUGAGCCCUGAGUCACCAUCUGUGGCAGAAACCCCGCUCACAUAACUGCCAGGGGGAGCUUCUUCACUUAGGUUCACCCGAUAGACCAACUGGGAGAAGACAGGAGGAUGGUCAUUGAUAUCAUUAACAAAGAUCACAAGGCUGGCGACGGAGGAACGAGCCACUGCCCCGGGGGGCGCCCCAUGAUUGUCUGACACGGAGACCGUCAGGUUGUAGGAAGGGAUGCGUUCCCGGUCCAAGGCACUGGCCACCUUGAUGAGGCUCAGAUUGGGCACCUUGCUUCGCUGCACCUCAAAGUGGCGUUGCUCGUUGCCGCCCAGGAUCUGCACCGAAAUGUUGCCAUUGGCCGCAGGGGAAUCAGCGUCCGUGACCGUCAGCAGGGCCACGACUGUGCCUACCUGCGCAUUCUCGUCCACUGAGGCAAAGCGCGACGUGGCGGGGAAAUAGCGGAACUUGACCACUGGAUCGUUGUCGUUCACGUCCAGUAGCUGGAUGAGCGCCUCCGCUCGACCAGUAAGCGACGGCACGCCCCGGUCGUGUGCCUGCAGAGUGAGCGAGUACUGGCGCCUGGCCUCGUAAUCCAGGGGCUCCCGCACGGUGAUGAGCCCUGUCUCGGGAUCCAUGUGGAAGGGACCUCCGUCCUCCUGCAGCUGGUAGCGGAUAUCUGCGUUGGUGCCUUCGUCGGCAUCAGCCGCAGAGACUUGCAGCACACUGGAGCCCACGGCCGCAUCCUCAGGAAGUAACCAAAACCUGGAAACAAAAUGGAGGCUCAUCAAUGGGAUUCCAUAUGUCUCAUUUUACAAAUUAGGAAAAUGAGGCCCAUAAAGGAACAAGACUUUAUCUCUUGGUUCCUGACAUUUUCUCUGGCUGUUCCCCAAGUCUGGAAUGAGCUCCCUUCUCAUCUCUACUUCCUGCCUUCCUUGACUUCCUUAGACUCCAGAAUAUUAUUCUUGAGCAUUCGCAUUCCUGCUAGAGUGACUUCUCUUCCAGCAUACUAGAUCACAAAAGGUUACCUAUUCUCUGAACCUUUGAAGUCUGGUUUCCUGAAAUCUUUGGAGGAGCAUAUCAAAUUGUACUUGCAGGGGAUGUUCACUUUGCCCUAUUAUUUUUAGCCCAGAAACCAAUUUUUACCUCUCAAUGAGAAUCAGAUCCAGGAUAGUUUCCUUUUAUUGGUUCUUUUAACUUUUGAAAGAUAAAGUGAUCAUUAAGGCCAGUUAAGAAUACAGAUUUUUUUUUUUUUUUUAAGAAUACAGAUUCUUACUUUUGAGAGAGUCUAGCAGAUGUUCAACUUUCUCUUAUCUCCUCACCCUGGCCAUCUUCCUUCCUGGAAAGCUGGACUCUAAACUUGGCUCCCAUGGUUUUGAUAGAUAAGCUUUUUACCUUGUUACUGGUGCUCAUAUCUCCAUGUAACAUCAGGUACUACAGAACUUCUUUGUCAUCUCCCAGAUCCCAAAACAGUAGUAAUGGAAAGGGCAUUGAGCUGCCAGUGUGCUCAGCAGGAGGAGAAGUGACAGGAGUAGAACAGCAACUGUGGUGAGAAUAGCAGUGGCAGGACUCAGGUCCCCGUAGCAGAAGGGGACCCCAGACUCCUGACAUCUCUGAGCACCACAUGGCAACCAGAGCCUUGGGUAUGGGACUAUAGCUUCUACCUCCACAUCCAGUGCUGUUCCCUCCAAGAAAACAUGGACAGUUGGAAAGAGUAUAAAAGUCAUGGUUCCUCUCAGAAAUGAGUUUGGUCAAAAACAGAGCCCAGAUGGGUUGAUCUGGAUUGGCUUAGGAUGGAGAGGGAGAGUUAGACUAAAGACUAAAGAUGUACUCAUGGGAAAAAAUCAUUUAUUUAUAAUCUAUUGCUUUCACCACUUGUCAUACCUUCUAGAACCAAUUAAUGAGGCUCCACUAUAUUUACCACCAUGCUUCCCCAAUCAGGGUCCUGUAUUUCAUCCCAUUCAUAUAUUAUCUUAACAUACAAUACUACUCAAGUCUACAUCUAACCUAUUCUAUUGUUUUUAUUGUUGCUGUUGUUGUUUUUACACAUAAAUAUGAUAUUUGAAUAUGAUACUCAUAGAAAAGUCAGAGUCUAGUUAUCAUAUUAUAUAGUAAUACCUCUGCAAUCAAAUUUGCUUUUUGCGUUAUGAUUUCUAAUUCUUCAUUUAGUGCUGAAACUUCAAGGAUUUUUAUACAAACCAAUGGUCUGUGUUGCUGAUUUCUAUCUAAGAUUUUGUCUCUUCCGGGCAUUUUAACUGAUUCUUCCCUCAUUGUAGUGAUUCUCUGUGAUAUCUAAUUUGGUGUAUGUAUAUGGGCCAUCUUCUUUCUCCCCCAUCCUUUAUAUAAAAAUGACCUGCAUUUCUGAGUGCAAGUCAGUCCAGCAGAGAUGGGAAUGCUCAAGUAUAAUAUUCUGAAAAAAAGAAAGGAAAACAAUUUCAGUGAGGCAGUUAUAAAGUCCAAGCCUUUAUAACCAUUUCUUUAAAAAAAAUUAAGGUUCUUUCAUGUAGUUAUCAUUUGACUGUUUAUAGCUGUUUAUAAUUCACUGUUAAUUUGGCAGGAUGUCUCAGAUUUGAGUGUCUGUGUUUUAUUCUAACAUUUUUGGUGAGAGCUUUAGGUAAAGAGAUGGCUAAUUAAUUGUUAUGCUAUUUUCUAUGUUUAUCAUUUUUUUUGCUAGAUAAAUUCUUUUUGAAAUGUACUCCCUUAUGUUCCCAGAGAACAUUAUCAUGAAAUUCAGCAUUUGCCCAGAUUGAACUAACCUUGGUGAUCAUAUCAUAUAUAUAUAUAUAUAUAUAUAUAUAUAUAUAUAUAUAUAUGCUUAUAUAUUAUAAUAUAUAUAAUUGAUUAGAGUAGAUCACUACUGAGAUUCCUUCCAACUCUCAAAUUCAGGAAUUAUUCAGUUAUUCCUCAUGUUUUUUCUUUACUGGUUAUCUUCAGAUGUUAUUAGCUUCUUUUAUGAAUUUAUUUUAAUUAACUAAAAUCAUACACAGCACAGUAUAAAUUGUGAUUUAUGUGCCAGCAUGCUGACACAGGGUUUACAAGCAUCUUUCCUUAAAAUUCUACUUUCUCAUAUCUCGCAUCUUUGUUCUUUGUCUUAUAUUAUGUCAGUAUCUCUAAGAUCUCCCCAUGGAGUCAUCCAACUUUUGUCUACUUUCCUUUAUACUCACAUUUGAUGCAAAGAUGACUUUCCUUGUGAGAUUGUAGUCAUAAUUUCGCUGAAUUCCUUAUCAUUUAUAUCAUCUGAAUUUGCAAGGCAUUGCAUGAUUCUUGGUUGUGGUUCUAUACUUACUGUAACAGACUGUAAGAUCCUUGAGAAUAGAGAUUCCUUUUUAUUUACCCUAAUAUUUCCCACAGUACUUUGUAUUGUGCUGCACACAUCAUUAUGUUAUAGAAGUUGAAGUGGAGGCUGUCUAGUUUGACCAAUGUUUGACAAUGAGUAUGUUUUAAAAACCUUCCUUCUAAAUGGAAUCUAACAUCCCUUAAAGAUUUUCAGUGACUGUGGAAUCAAUGAGUCUCCAUCCAUUAAUAUAUCUUGUUAAUAGAUAAACAGUUUUAUGUUCCUGAUACAUUGUUGGUGGAAUUGUGAAUACAUCCAGCCAUUCUGGAGAGCAAUUUGGAACUAUGCCCAAAAAGUUAUCAAACUGUGCAUACCUUUUGAUCCAGCAGAUCAAAGAGAUCUUAAAGAAGGGAAAGGGACCUCUAUGUGCAAGAAUGUUUGUGGCAGCCCUCUUUGUAGUAGUCAGAUACUGGAAACUAAGUAGAUGCCCAUCAAUUGGAGAAGGCUGAAUAAACUGUGGUAUAUGAAUGUUAUAGAAUAUUAUUGUUCUGUAAGAAGUGACCAGCAGGAUGAUUUCAGAAAGGCCUGGAGAGACCUACAUGAACUGAUGCUGAGUGAAAUGAGCAGGACCAGGAGAUCAUUAUAUAUUUCAAGAACAAUAUUUUAUGAUGAUCAAUUCUGAUGGACGUGGCCCUCUUCAACAAUGAGAUGCACCAAAUCAGUUCCAAUAGAGCAGUAAUGAAUUGAGGCAGCCAGUGAAAGAACCCUGGGAAAUGAGUAUGAACCACUGCAUAGAAUUCCCAAUCCCUCUAUUUUUGUCUGCCUGCAUUUUUGAUUUCCUUCACAAGUUAAUUGUACAUUAUUUCAAAGUCCGAUUCUUUUUGUACAGCAAGAUAACUGUAUGGACAUGUAUACAUAUAUUGUAUUUAACAUAUAUUUUAACAUAUAUAACAUGUAUUGGUCAACCUGCCAUCUGGGGG